GAUCUGUUGGAGAUUUUAUCCAUUCCUUUCUUGGAAGUUGAGGAUCCCAAGCAUUUUCCAAAACUGAUUGAUGUCACCUCUCAUAAAUCCUGCAUCUCCUGUGAUCAAGACUCAGUCCCUGUGGUGCCCAGCCGCUCAUUUUUGCCCAGACACUCUGCAGGUCUCCAUCAUUUGUCUCAAAUGUCUCAAAUUCCAUGGGAAAGGGACUGGGGGAGGUAACUCCCAUGCUUCACAUAUGAGGCUUGGAUACCCAAAGACACAGUGAGUUUUCACCAAAUGUUCCUCAAAGAACAACUCAGUCUGAGAAAUCCUCCCACAAAUCCUGCACUUAGGCGCGUGAUCAGCCCUGCCAAUCCACUGCAGACUGCAAACAGCCUCAGACAGGACUCCAAACAGUUAAUGUCAAAUAGCUCAUUUUCUCUCAUCUCCAUACAAAUUCCUGUCAUGUUGCAUUACAUGUAAACAACUGAGAAGCUUAAUGGCAUGCCUUUCAGUCAAAAAUUCAUAUGGCUUUUCAGUCUGAGCAGAUUAAUUGCAGUUUGUAACAAUAUGAAGUAAUUCAAUUUGAUUAGAAUUUCUAUUGUUCUUUGAGAUAAAAUAUUUUAUGUGAAUGUAAAGCCAAGU